CGAACGCCUACUCCUUCUCGACCCAGCUUCACAUCGUCCUUUUUUCUCUCCCUCAUUUUUUCCUCCCGGGCCUAGGGUUUCCGCCGCCGCCGCCGUCGCCGUCGUCACCGCCGCUGGCUUCCGGAGGAUGGCCCGCUUCUACCCCGACUCUUCUCUCACCCUAUUCAAUCUCGACUAGCACCACCGCCGCUGCUUUGAGCUCGUCUAUGGGUGCGGGGAAGAGGAUGGCAUCGAGGUGCAGACGGCCCUGGCUCGGGGAGGCGACCUCCAUCGCCGCCACGAGAGGAGCAGGGGUGGAGGCUGCUCUUUGGGUACGAGAGGAGCACAACAGGGGAUUGUUCAGAGGGUAGGCCAAGGGACGCCGAGUCGAGUCAAGGCCGUCAGAGCGAGCACGUUCAUGGCUUUUUGUGAUCUUCCUGGCUGAUUUGGGUGUGAAUCGCGCCUUCGUCCUGUAAAACAUGGCGCCGCAGGGGCUCUACCUGCACCCCAGACGUCGACGCUGCGCCGGCUCAUCCUCGAGGUCCGACGACCCCAGGCCCGACCUUGAUGAGUGCCCAAUCUGCUUCCCCGCCAGUCCCCUUUUAGUGAGUCUCUCCUUGUUCCUCCAAUGGAUCCAACUAUAGAUAGAUGCAAAAUUCUGAAUAUCGCUUCGCCCCUGCGUCUUGAUUGCAGUUCUAUCCGAGCCUUAGUUUGGUCAAGUGUUGCGCUAACUGAAACAUGAAUUGAGUGAUGAUACUAUAGAUUUCAUUGGCCAUGUGCUUGCUCUUUACAGGAACGAUAGGGUUCUUGUGGAUCGUGUUGGUCGUUCUGGGGCAUUGGAGUGGUCCAACUACCUGACGACGGUCAAGAUCGAGGUGCUGUCCGUGUAGUGGUUGCUCGGCCGUGACCAUGGGACCUUUUCCUAUUUUAUUAUUGGCUGUGUGACGAGAAGUCAGAGCAAAAAAUCCGAAGCGACUCCUCCCUUGUAAGUUCCAUGUACUGGGAUUUUACUUCUUGAUUAUUUUUCUCUAAAUGGUAGAAUGAUGCUUCUUCUGAUAUUGUAUUCUAGAAGAAUCCUAUGUUUUGUUCUUGGUACUAUAGAAGUGCAUCUCCCUUUUAUGCUGAUAGCAAGAUGGUCUUAAUUUUCAAUGCAAAUAAAUGAUUACUGGAGCCCAUGCAUUUUUCUGAGGGAGCCCAUGCAUAUUGUACAGCAAUGCAGUAUGUGGUGCUGUUUUUCAUUUUUUAUUUAUAAUCAGUGGCAAUACAGUGCCAGUAUUUUCCUCUUUGAUAUGGGUGCAAGUAUUUCUAUUUGGUAUUUAACUUAUAAUUGCCGAUUUUCUGAAAAAAGGGGCCAAAGAUUAGUCUGACAAUCUUUAUAUCUCACUCUUGUGGGAAGUACAAUAAAGAAAGUAUGUUCUUCAGGCUUAUGUUUCCCAGAUUGGCAGCUCUCAGUCAAACUUCUUUACUGAUCACUUCACCAUCGACAUCCACCCGAUCGAGCGGUUGUCGCCGAGCUCCACGGCUUCUGUGUCUACCGGAGAUGGGUUCUUGUGGGUCAGCUCACAAGAAGGUCGUCGGACUGCCCAAGAAGCUGUGCCUCGCCUCGUCGCCGCCGUCCAAGGACAACAAGGUUGUCGACGAUGUUCUGGUCGGUGUCGACCUCAAGGUCAAGUUGUUCGUCCCCAGUAGCAGGAGCGCUGACUCUGAUACGGUGUGACGGCUGGCGUCCUCGUCGAGGUCGUUCUUGUCGUCAACUUCAUCUCCAACCCAUCCACGGGUGUACCAUCUCCUGGAGUGCCCGUUCUGCUUCCUGGAAUUGAUUUUCACUAGGAACAGAAGCUUCAACAGUUUGUUGCUGAAGGAGAGCCGAGCAAGGAUGAAACAGAAGCUUUGAUGGCAUUCCAAGUUCGUGUCUGCAUUCUCUAAGAAACUGUUGAUGCUGCUCAUACUGACAUCUGCGGCCAAUUAUUUGAAAAGGCAAUGCAUUUUAUAGUUUAUUGCGCCUUUCAUUAACACACUACAUAAUGUUAGGUUUAAUUCCAGAUAUGCAUUAGUUCAGCAAAGUUGCUGGCCUGUUCUGUGUAAGUGUUCUUCUUACCCUUCUAGGAUAUUGCAGGUUGUUAAGGAAGAAAUUUUGUCAGUUGAUGGCACAAUGUCACAGUGUCUAAACUUUUUUUUUUCGAGAGUAUCACAGUGUCUCUUGAAAAAGGAGGCUGCUAUGACCAUCUUUAGUAAAGCAGUAUGCCUCUCCCCUAAAAAAUGUGUUACAUAGAUUGGCGUAUAUUUUUCUGUAAAACUACUAUAUCUGUUGGUAUAUUAAAGUGCAAAUCCAA